CUCCGAAGUUUGAGUUAAUUGAUCGAUGGCGAAUCUUCCGAUCACCCAGUUUGAAGAGAAGAUUAUAGAAACGGUAGAGCAGAAUCCAGUGGUGGUGAUAAUUGGAGAGACGGGUUCGGGCAAGAGCACACAGCUUUCUCAAAUACUUCACCGAAAUGGCUACUCUAAAUCCGGAAUUAUCGGUGUCACUCAGCCUCGCCGUGUCGCCGCAGUGUCUGUUGCAAGACGAGUUGCACAGGAGCUUGGUGUUCCGCUUGGGGAGGAAGUGGGCUAUGCAAUAAGAUUUGAGGAUAGAACUUCGGAAAGAACCCUUAUUAAAUAUCUUACAGAUGGAGUCCUGCUCCGCGAAAGCCUCUCUAAUGCAGAGCUUAAUCAGUAUUCAGUAAUCAUAUUGGAUGAAGCUCAUGAGAGGAGUCUGAACACGGACAUAUUGCUGGGACUGGUGAAACGCUUGGUUAAGAUGCGAGCAUCCAAUUUGAAGAUUUUGAUCACAUCAGCUACUCUUGAUGGUGAACAAGUGUCUAAAUUCUUUUCUAAUUGCCCCAUACUGAAUGUCCCUGGAAAGUUGUACCCUGUGGAGAUAUUAUACAGCAAGGAGCGUCCUAAAAGUUAUAUUGAUUCUUGUUUGAAAACAGCUAUUGAUAUACAUGUGAAGGAACCAGAAGGUGAUGUUCUGAUAUUCAUGACAGGACAGGAUGAUAUAGAAAAAUUGGUAUCCAAGUUGGAGGAAAAAGUUCGAAGCCUGGAGGAAGGGUCUUGCAUGGAUGCAAUAAUCCUUCCUCUUCAUGGUUCUUUGCCGCCUGAAAUGCAGGUGCGUGUGUUUAGUCCUCCUCCUCCAAAUUGUAGGCGUUUUAUUGUUUCCACAAAUAUUGCUGAAACUUCCUUGACUGUUGAUGGUGUAGUAUAUGUUAUUGACGCUGGUUAUGUGAAGCAACGGCAAUACAACCCAUCAACCGGCAUGUAUUCCCUUGAUGUAGUUCAAAUUAGCAAAGUGCAAGCUAAUCAGCGUGCUGGGCGGGCUGGAAGAACACGUCCUGGCAAGUGUUACCGCUUGUACCCCUCCAAGGUGUACCAAGAUGAUUUUCUUGAUGUAACAGUGCCUGAAAUACAGCGAUCUUCUCUUGCUGGCAGUGUUCUAUAUUUGAAAUCAUUGGAUCUUUCUGAUAUCAAUGUUCUCAAGUUUGAUUUUCUUGAUCCCCCUUCCUUUGAAUCAUUAGAAGAUGCCCUAAAGCAAUUAUAUCUUAUUGAUGCUAUUGAUGAAAAUGGAACCAUUACAAGUGUUGGAAGAACAAUGGCUGAGCUUCCUUUGGAACCUUCUCUUUCAAGAACCUUGAUUGAGGCAAAUGAAUACAAUUGCUUAGCUCAGGCUUUGACUGUAGCUGCUAUGUUAUCAGCAGAAACCACAUUGCUCCUUAGUCGAAGCAACAGGACUGAGAAAAAGAGGAAACACACUCCCAGGGAUCUUCCUGAUGGUUCUGGUUUGGGAGAUCACAUCCAGUUGCUACAGAUUUAUGAGCGUUGGGAUGAAACUGAUUACGAUGUUGAUUGGUGCAGAGAUAAUGACUUGCAGGUGAGAGGAAUGAAGUUUGUUAAAGAUGUUCGGAAACAACUAUCUCAGAUAAUGCAGAAAAUAGCUAAAGGAUCCUUAGAUGUGCGAGCAAAUCAAAGUCGGAAAGGAAGGCAACAGGAUUAUAGGAAUUUGAGGAAGGCUUUGUGUGUUGGCUUUGCCAACCAGCUUGCUGAGAGAAUGAUUCAUCACAACGGCUAUCGAACUAUAGGUUUUAAGCCCCAAUUGGUUCAGGUGCAUCCAUCCUCUGUGCUAAGAACAGAUGAAGAAGGAAUGCUGCCAAAUUAUGUUGUGUACCAUGAGCUCAUUUCUACCUCACGUCCAUAUAUGCGCAAUGUGUGUGCUGUGGAAAUGCUGUGGGUUACACCCAUUUUAAAGAAGCUUGAGAAACUAGAUAUAAACAAACUGAGUGGUGGAGUAAGUCAUAUUGGAGAGGGAACAGAGGAAACACUUGCGGAAGCGCCAAAAAAAGAGGUUGAUGUUGCUGGGCUUUCUAAUGACCGUGAAAGUAAAAUUCAGGCAGCUAGGGAGCGUUUUCUUGCCCGUAAAGCAAAUAAAUGAGCCAAGACUUUCAAUUUUUUUCAUCAAUGAAAGAGUUGUUGGGUGGAUCUCACUACAGAGCAGGCCUUGGGACCUUAAUUCAAGGCAGCGUUUGUGUUGAAAUUUAUUUGCUUUCAACUCUAAGCAGCUCAUCACUUUCCUCUGUACCUGCUCGGCAUAUUUCGUAUCAGCUGUUUAAAAACGCUCUGAUGGUAGGAUGGCACUUCUCAUGAAAAUCUGUAAUUCUAAUAGAAUUCUAAUAGUGAUAUACCUUCAGUUGAAAGAAACCAAGCCUCUCCAUGUAUCAAAUGUAGCAAUGUAACUUCUGCUAUUAUAAUUCUAUUUUUCUUGACGAUUACAGAGGUUGCUAAUUAAUUAAUAUAAUGCCAUUUUUUCGAGAUU